rnacentral:rRNA from 1 species
UACGUAGGGGGCAAGCGUUGUCCGGAAUUACUGGGCGUAAAGCGUGCGCAGACGGUUGCGUAAGUCAGAUGUGAAAGCCCCGGGCUCAACCUGGGAAUUGCAUUUGAGACUGCGUAGCUAGGGUGCGGAAGAGGGAAGCGGAAUUUCCGGUGUAGCGGUGAAAUGCGUAGAUAUCGGAAGGAACACCAGUGGCGAAAGCGGCUUCCUGGUCCAGCACCGACGUUCAGGCACGAAAGCGUGGGGAGCAAACAGG